AAAGCUUGCAAUUUGCAUCAAUGAUAGAGUUGGGGCCAUCAAGUUUUGGCUCUUGUGCAGCUAUUUAGAAGAGAAAAUCAAUUUGCUGCUAAUGGCUGAUGAAUUCAGGGUAUGCUUCUCUUUGCUUUGCUUUGCUUUACUAGCUCGGCUUUUCCUUUCUUGGUGUGUUGUCAUUUUAUCUGUAUUGUGUAUAAAUGAAAUGAAAUGUUACCAAUAGUUCUAUGUUUUUCUUAAAUUUGUAAAUGCUGGUGACAUGUUAAUUAGCAUAUAUAAUGUGUUUUUCCUUACAUGGAUAAUGGUAUAAUUUAUGUCGAUCAUGUGAAAAAAUCUGAAAUUCUGAACAUCUAACUCAAAAACUUAAAUCAAUAGGCGGAGUAGCUCAAGAAACUCACGUUGAAACUAAAAUCCUGAAAUUCUUGGAUAUAUGAGAUUCAUUUACUUUUGCCUAGAAAAUACUUGUAAUAAUCACAAUAUAUAAAGAGGUCUAAACUUUAAGGUUUUGCAGAUACUGUUCUCCCAACAGCCACUACGUAUCUCAAUUAUAUUCUCAUGCAGGGGCGGAUUUACUCAAUAAAUUGGGGCAGAUCUACUCUAUAAAUUGGGGUUUACGUGAACCAAUGGUCUUCCCAGCAAAUCAGUUUUUCCAUGUACAUAGUUUACUGAAAUUGUUUAAUAUUAUCUUUGGGAACCAUGUUGUAUAAAGCUAAGUGGUGCACUGGCUGAAUGGUUAUUUUAUUUCCCCAAGGACGAUUCCCGAAUCCUCUGACUUUACUUUAAAGCCGGUGAUGCGGUCUGGUCUCAAAAUCCUGAAUCCACAUCUAAAUUAUAUUUGUUAAUUAAUUGCUAUGAUU
rnacentral:lncRNA from 1 species